rnacentral:lncRNA from 1 species
CGCGAGUGUCUUUCAAAAUAGGCUAUUUGGUGGGUUAGAACCCACAGAAAUUGGAUACACGCGCUAAACGCAAGAUGGGUGAGAGUGGGUAUGAAACCGCAAGAUCGGUGAGAAUGGGUAUGACAUGGAGCGCUCUGAUUGGCUAAAAAACUCAAAAUAGUAGACAUGUAGCUCCUCCCUUCCUCCUCUCAUAAUAGUAGUUAUUAUUACUUCGUCUAGGCGAGAAUGAAAUUAAGAUUUUUUUCAAUCUGAAAGUUGGUGUUUUUAGAGAUAUACUUCUUGGGAAAUCUUACAGAAACAGGUAACAUCUAGCGGUAUACAUAAGCACUUAGAAGGUGUUAAAGUGAUCCACAGGAUUGCACACAAGUGGUCGAGCCAUCUCAGCAGAAAAACCAGAACCUUGGCUCAGAUCGACCUUCUGUCCAUCAACACUCUUCCAGUCGAAGCGCUGCACCAAUGAACCCACACCUAUAUGCAUCACAUUCAUGGCAAGGGAUGCUCCUGGACAUCCUCUCCUUCCACUCCCAAAUGGAAGGUAACGGAAAUUCUGCCCCUUGAACUGCAUCUGGUGUUCACCUAUCUUCUCUUCAGAGCUCUCUAGAAAUCUCUCGGGGAUGAAUCUGUCUGCAUCUGCCCAUAGUUCUGAAUCUCGCAUGAUUGCAUAAACAUUUACGAGUACACGGGUUUUUGACUUGACAAGGCACCCGUUCACCUGGCAGUCUUCUGCGCAUUCUCUUAUGAUCAGAGGAGCUGAAGGGUGGAGCCUCAGAGUUUCCCUUAGGACAGCUCGGAGGUAAGGAAGGUGGGAGGAAACAUACCAGCAGGAAAGAUUUCAUGUCAUUCCUCGUUAUCUUCAUUUCAGCAGUGGGAUCUCUGUCAUAUUUCUCCAUUACAGCCACUAACUUCUUCCCGUUCCCAGAAAAGUCCAUUACUUUCAAUGGCCCCAACACAUCUCCUACACUGAUCUUCCCCGCAAGCUCCAAACUUUUCUUCACCAGCUCCCUUAUCUCUUCUGCUUCAUUAUCAGUACCUGAACACCUGGUGCUCAUCGCCAUCCUGCAGAUUACAUUGUUGGUGUAUUUUAUGAACUGGCUACUCAAGUCACAAGGCAACCCUUCUCUGCAACACUUAGCCACAGAAUCGACCAGCUUCAGUUUCUCCUCCUCACGGAUGUCAGCGAAUUUCUCCAGCUGUGGAACAGCAAGAAGCUUAGUCAUGCACAGCUUCUUCAUGAACCUCCAGUAAUCUCCAUACUGCGCAAGGACAAACCUGGACCCUCUAUACUUGAAAUACUCUGCAGAACCAAACUCAGGUCUCGAGGAGAAAUUAAGCUCUUGCUCCUUGAAAAUCUCUCUCGCCACCGAAGAGCUUGAGACCACAACGCACUUAGAAGCACCGAGACGUAUCUCCAUGAGUGGGCCAUACUUGUGAGCUAAACUUUGGAAUGAGACAGGCAAUACUUUGCCUAUCAAAUGAAGGUGGCCAAUGAAUGGUAAAGCUGGAGGGCUCUGUGGCAGCUUCGUAGCAGCCAAUGAACCUUGCUCUUUCAAGAACCAUUUGAAGAGAGCAUAAAGCAUGAAAGGAAAAGCUAAGGAUGUGAUGAGAAUAAUUAGUUUAGUGUUUAGUUUUAAAUCCAUUGCAGGCAGGUAUUGAUACAAUUUUUGAAGUAUGCUUGUAUUUAUAUCCAGACACAGACGAAUCUUGUUUAUUAGAUGCUCAUUGUAAAGAAAACAAAACAACAGAUGUGACCUUUUACCAAAU